ensembl:lncRNA
GUGGUUAAGCAUCCACCUGCAGGAGACUUAAGAGAUUUGGGUUCAAUCCCUGGGUGGGGAAGAUCCCCUGGAGAAAGAAAUGGCAAUCCACUGCAGUAAUCUUGCCUGGAGAAUCCCAUGGAAAGAGGGAGCCUGGCAGGCUACAGUCCAUGGGGUCACAAAGAGUUGGACACAACUGAAGUGACUUAGCACACACACACAUCAUAAGAGGAAUCAAUCCCAGAGAUCACUUUGCAGAGGAAAGAAGGCUGGUGUGGGGCAGAAGGAGCACAUUCAAUCUGGUGGUGGCACGGGUCCAGGUUUCUAGGGAGGAAAGGAAGAUGCUUCCUGGGAGGUGUUUGGGGGCCUGUCGAGGAGCUGCACUUGGGCAGGGCAAGCAGUCAGUAGUCCGUCUUUCAUGGCUUAGGCCCAGUUUGCCUUGUGGGCCGCACAGCCUCCCCAGCAAGAGAUAAACCCGUCAUCUGUGUUGAAGGCUCAGGGGUAUAGGCUGUGGUGGCCCCCUACUCACUAGAAGCAGGACAGAAUUGUUAGGGUCAGACUUUUCCAGGUUUUAUUUUUAUUUUUCUGUUUUUUUGGCGGUGCCGCGUGACACGCAGGAUCUGAAUUUCUUGACCAGGGUUCGAACCAGUGCCCCCUGCUGUGGAAGUGCAGCAUCCUAAUCGCUGGACCACCAGAGAAGUCCCUUUUCCAGUCUGAGGAGACGUCAUCUACUCGUUCACUCACAUCCCAACUUAUCCAAGAGACAUUUAUCAAGCAUCUACUAUGCAAAGCACAGUGAAGACAUCAGCUUUCAAGCAGCCUCUACUCUGAUGCGAAGACCCUAACUAUGACGUACAUCAGAAUGAAAUGUGAUCUAGGAAGGAGAUACACUGACCUUAGAGGAACAGGAAAAAGGAACUGUUCAUUUUGAUCUGGGAGGUACAGAACUCAGGGAAUAUGGGGGAGAGACAUUUGAACAGAAACAUAAGGGACAAGAAAGGUUUCAAGACGAAGAAUGGAAGAAGACUCCAGGAUGAGGGAAUUGUAUUAACAAAGUCACGGAGAAGUGGAGAUCCAUAGUGUGCAUGGAGAGAGGGGUACACGGUGCUAGACUUGAAUGCCCAGGAAGGGAGUCUGAAGGAUGAGGGUGGGGGUGUGCAGACAAAGAGAAGUGACUAUGACAAUGUG